GACGAACGCUGGCGGCGUGCUUAACACAUGCAAGUCGAACGAAGAGCGAUGGAAGCUUGCUUCUAUCAAUCUUAGUGGCGAACGGGUGAGUAACGCGUAAUCAACGUGCCCUUCAGAGGGGGACAACAGUUGGAAACGACUGCUAAUACCGCAUACGAUCUAAUCUCGGCAUCGAGGAUAGAUGAAAGGUGGCCUCUACAUGUAAGCUAUCACUGAAGGAGGGGAUUGCGUCUGAUUAGCUAGUUGGAGGGGUAACGGCCCACCAAGGCGAUGAUCAGUAGCCGGUCUGAGAGGAUGAACGGCCACAGUGGGACUGAGACACGGCCCAGACUCCUACGGGAGGCAGCAGUGGGGAAUCUUCCGCAAUGGACGAAAGUCUGACGGAGCAACGCCGCGUGAGUGAUGACGGCCUUCGGGUUGUAAAGCUCUGUUAAUCGGGACGAAAGGCCUUCUUGCGAAUAGGGAGAAGGAUUGACGGUACCGGAAUAGAAAGCCACGGCUAACUACGUG
rnacentral:rRNA from 1 species